GACAUAGGUGGCGAACGUUAUCCGGAAUUAUUGGGCGUAAAGAGCUCGUAGGCGGUUGGGCAAGUCACGUGUGAAAUCUCCACGCUCAACGUGGAGGCGCCACGUGAGACUGCCCUGACUCGAGUCCGGUAGGGGAGCGUGGAAUUCCCGGUGUAGCGGUGAAAUGCGCAGAUAUCAGGAGGAACACCAAUGGCGAAGGCAGCUCGCUGGGACGUGACUGACGCUGAGACGCGAAAGCGUGGGGAGCAAACAGG
rnacentral:rRNA from 1 species